UUCCAAGAUAAGAUGUGUGCCAUGAUUUAUUACAUCAUUAGUUCCUGGUCGCAUUUGAUGAUAUUUCGUCCAAUUGAUUAAAUAGUGAAUAUUUUUUAGAGGUUGACAAGUAUGGGUAGUACACUGGUUGAUGGAAGUAUCUAAAGAUUCAGUCAUUCAAUCUUCUCUCCACUGUAUGAGGGUCAGUUCUCUCAAUUUGACGUCUAUUUACAUCUGAUAAAGAUUCAUUUUUACCUAUCAUCUCUAUCUCUGUCCUGCUAAUGCAUGUUUUUCGUGGUCAAUUUACUCUACGGAGGAAUUGUGGCUUCGGUCAGAGGAUAAAGACCAUGUUUUAAAGGAAUUAUGAAUCUCACUUCAGCACUUUGAAUGCCUAUGGCAUGUGAACAAUAAAAUAUAUUGUUCCAAUAGUCACCUUCCUGGCGAUUUAUUUUCCUGAAUUGCAUGGGACUCAUGUCGUAGUAAAGGACAAAUAACGGCGUGCAGGUUAAAUUGACAAUCCAAACCGCUUUAGUCGAAGAUCUCUCGCGGAAAGGUUAUCAAUGGAAGAUCCCUUGUGCGCGUCACCCACGGAAGGGCCUACAUAUGGAAACACGGAAUAAUCUGUAUAGGUGUAUUUCAUCAAGGUUGACUGCGCAUUAUUGUGCUCAACAUACAUCAUGCUACCAGGUCAGAAUAAUGAGGGUCUCCCUAUACCUCAAACUUCAAAGUAGGUUCAAGGUCCUUGAGACUUUAACAUUGCCACCAUCUAUGGAUCUCACGAGAUAGAGUGCACCAUCAUCAGCUUCUGUAGUCGAUGCGGUAAAAUCGUGGUCUUAGUAGAGCACCUGUGUUUUUGGGCUUCUGUAGUUGUACGGAUCAUCAGGAAGUGUUAUAACAAGCAGAGCAGAGCUGUGUCUGACAGGCUUACCGUGUAAUGUAAUCUAUUCACACCUGCCGCGUUUCAAUACGUGUCCUUUUUGUAUGGUGAAGGACCAUAUAACAUCCCUUGACCAUCUAGCCGAGUUGUGUCCUCCUACACUUUCUCAGUUUGGUCUGCAAAUGUGCAAAAUUCCUCGGCGGAUACAUGCGAAGCUGUUUGCUCUGAGUUUCCGUGAUCAUCAACAAUGUCAAUAUACGACCGUGUAUUCCUUAGAGAAUUAUAUAUCAGUGUAGCCAUGCCCAUUCGAAAUAACUAAGUAGUCGUUUCUGUCCAAUAUGGUGUCUCCUCCUCUGUGUAUCCUAUGAAUGUUAUACAA